GAUGAACGCUGGCGGCGUGCCUAAUACAUGCAAGUCGAGCGAACAGACAAGAGUGCUUGCACUCUCUGACGUUAGCGGCGGACGGGUGAGUAACACGUGGGUAACCUACCUAUAAGACUGGGAUAACUUCGGGAAACCGGAGCUAAUACCGGAUAAUAUUUAGCUUCGCAUGAAGCAAUAGUGAAAGACGGUUCUGCUGUCACUUAUAGAUGGACCCGCGGUGUAUUAGCUAGUUGGUGAGGUAACGGCUCACCAAGGCAACGAUACAUAGCCGACCUGAGAGGGUGAUCGGCCACACUGGGACUGAGACACGGCCCAGACUCCUACGGGAGGCAGCAGUAGGGAAUCUUCCGCAAUGGACGAAAGUCUGACGGAGCAAUGCCGCGUGAGUGAAGAAGGUUUUCGGAUCGUAAAACUCUGUUGUAAGGGAAGAACAAGUACGUUAGUAACUGAACGUACCUUGACGGUACCUUACCAGAAAGCCACGGCUAACUACGUG
rnacentral:rRNA from 1 species